rnacentral:miRNA from 10 species
UGUAUGUUAUAUGUGAUAUAUGUGUGUGUAUGUGAUAUACGAUAUAUAUAUACAUAUAUAUAUACACACACGUAUAUACACACACACACACACACACAUAUG